rnacentral:rRNA from 1 species
GGUUAAGCGACUAAGCGUACACGGUGGAUGCCCUGGCAGUCAGAGGCGAUGAAGGACGUGCUAAUCUGCGAAAAGCGCCGGCGAGGUGAUAUGAACCCUUGACCCGGCGAUGUCCGAAUGGGGAAACCCAGUGCAAUCCGUUGCACUAUCGUUAACUGAAUACAUAGGUUAACGAGGCGAACCGGGGGAACUGAAACAUCUAAGUACCCCGAGGAAAAGAAAUCAACCGAGAUUCCCCCAGUAGCGGCGAGCGAACGGGGAGCAGCCCGGAGUCUGAAUCAGCUUGUGUGUUAGUGGAACGGUCUGGAAAGUCCGACGGUACAGGGUGAUAGUCCCGUACACGAAAAUGCACAUGCUGUGAACUCGAAGAGUAGGGCGGGACACGUGGUAUCCUGUCUGAAUAUGGGGGGACCAUCCUCCAAGGCUAAAUACUCCUGACUGACCGAUAGUGAACCAGUACCGUGAGGGAAAGGCGAAAAGAACCCCGGCGAGGGGAGUGAAAAAGAACCUGAAACCGUGUACGUACAAGCAGUGGGAGCCUCUUUAUGGGGUGACUGCGUACCUUUUGUAUAAUGGGUCAGCGACUUAUAUUCUGUAGCAAGGUUAACCGUAUAGGGGAGCCGAAGGGAAACCGAGUCUUAACUGGGCGUUAAGUUGCAGGGUAUAGACCCGAAACCCGGUGAUCUAGCCAUGGGCAGGUUGAAGGUUGGGUAACACUAACUGGAGGACCGAACCGACUAAUGUUGAAAAAUUAGCGGAUGACCUGUGGCUGGGGGUGAAAGGCCAAUCAAACCGGGAGAUAGCUGGUUCUCCCCGAAAGCUAUUUAGGUAGCGCCUCGUGAAUUCAUCUUCGGGGGUAGAGCACUGUUUCGGCUAGGGGGCCAUCCCGGCUUACCAACCCGAUGCAAACUACGAAUACCGAAGAAUGUUAUCACGGGAGACACACGGCGGGUGCUAACGUCCGUCGUGAAGAGGGAAACAACCCAGACCGCCAGCUAAGGUCCCAAAGUCAUGGUUAAGUGGGAAACGAUGUGGGAAGGCACAGACAGCCAGGAUGUUGGCUUAGAAGCAGCCAUCAUUUAAAGAAAGCGUAAUAGCUCACUGGUCGAGUCGGCCUGCGCGGAAGAUGUAACGGGGCUAAACCAUGCACCGAAGCUGCGGCAGCGACACUAUGUGUUGUUGGGUAGGGGAGCGUUCUGUAAGCCGUUGAAGGUGUGCUGUGAGGCAUGCUGGAGGUAUCAGAAGUGCGAAUGCUGACAUAAGUAACGAUAAAGCGGGUGAAAAGCCCGCUCGCCGGAAGACCAAGGGUUCCUGUCCAACGUUAAUCGGGGCAGGGUGAGUCGACCCCUAAGGCGAGGCCGAAAGGCGUAGUCGAUGGGAAACAGGUUAAUAUUCCUGUACUUGGUGUUACUGCGAAGGGGGGACGGAGAAGGCUAUGUCAGCCGGGCGACGGUUGUCCCGGUUUAAGCAUGUAGGCGGAGGUUCCAGGUAAAUCCGGUACCUUUUAACGCUGAGGUGUGAUGACGAGGCACUACGGUGCUGAAGUGAUAAAUGCCCUGCUUCCAGGAAAAGCCUCUAAGCAUCAGGUAACACGAAAUCGUACCCCAAACCGACACAGGUGGUCAGGUAGAGAAUACCAAGGCGCUUGAGAGAACUCGGGUGAAGGAACUAGGCAAAAUGGUGCCGUAACUUCGGGAGAAGGCACGCUGAUGUGUAGGUGAAGCCCCUGCGGGCGGAGCUGAAAUCAGUCGAAGAUACCAGCUGGCUGCAACUGUUUAUUAAAAACACAGCACUGUGCAAACACGAAAGUGGACGUAUACGGUGUGACGCCUGCCCGGUGCCGGAAGGUUAAUUGAUGGGGUUAGCGGCAACGCGAAGCUCUUGAUCGAAGCCCCGGUAAACGGCGGCCGUAACUAUAACGGUCCUAAGGUAGCGAAAUUCCUUGUCGGGUAAGUUCCGACCUGCACGAAUGGCGUAAUGAUGGCCAGGCUGUCUCCACCCGAGACUCAGUGAAAUUGAACUCGCUGUGAAGAUGCAGUGUACCCGCGGCAAGACGGAAAGACCCCGUGAACCUUUACUAUAGCUUGACACUGAACACUGGUCCUUGAUGUGUAGGAUAGGUGGGAGGCUUUGAAGCGUGGACGCCAGUCUGCGUGGAGCCAACCUUGAAAUACCACCCUUUAAUGGCUGGUGUUCUAACGUGGACCCGUUACCCGGGUUGCGGACAGUGUCUGGUGGGUAGUUUGACUGGGGCGGUCUCCUCCCAAAGAGUAACGGAGGAGCACGAAGGUUGGCUAAUCCUGGUCGGACAUCAGGAGGUUAGUGCAAUGGCAUAAGCCAGCUUGACUGCGAGCGUGACGGCGCGAGCAGGUGCGAAAGCAGGUCAUAGUGAUCCGGUGGUUCUGAAUGGAAGGGCCAUCGCUCAACGGAUAAAAGGUACUCCGGGGAUAACAGGCUGAUACCGCCCAAGAGUUCAUAUCGACGGCGGUGUUUGGCACCUCGAUGUCGGCUCAUCACAUCCUGGGGCUGAAGUAGGUCCCAAGGGUAUGGCUGUUCGCCAUUUAAAGUGGUACGCGAGCUGGGUUUAGAACGUCGUGAGACAGUUCGGUCCCUAUCUGCCGUGGGCGCUGGAGAAUUGAGGGGGGCUGCUCCUAGUACGAGAGGACCGGAGUGGACGCAUCACUGGUGUUCGGGUUGUCAUGCCAAUGGCACUGCCCGGUAGCUAAAUGCGGAAGAGAUAAGUGCUGAAAGCAUCUAAGCACGAAACUUGCCCCGAGAUGAGUUCUCCCUGAGACUUUAAGUCUCCUGAAGGAACGUUGAAGACGACGACGUUGAUAGGUCGGGUGUGUAAGCGCAGCGAUGCGUUGAGCUAACCGAUACUAAUGAACCGUGAGGCUUAACCUU